rnacentral:rRNA from 1 species
GACAUAGGUCGCGAACGUUAUCCGGUUUUAUUGGGCGUAAAGGGUGCGUAGGCGGGUUUUUAAGUCAGGGGUGAAAUCCCGAGGCUCAACCUCGGAACUGCCUUUGAUACUGGAAAUCUUGAGUCUGGGAGAGGUGAGUGGAACUGCGAGUGUAGAGGUGAAAUUCGUAGAUAUUCGCAAGAACACCGGUGGCGAAGGCGGCUCACUGGCCCGGAACUGACGCUGAGGCACGAAAGCGUGGGGAGCAAACAGG